rnacentral:rRNA from 1 species
AUACGUAGGUGACAAGCGUUAUCCGGAUUUACUGGGCGUAAAGGGCGUGUAGGCGGUCUUGCAAGUCAGAAGUGAAAUUCCUGAGCUCAACUCGGGCGCUGCUUCUGAAACUGCAGGACUUGAGUGCUGGAGGGGAUAGCGGAAUUCCUCGUGGAGCGGUAAAAUGCGCAGAUAUUAGGAAGGACACCGGUGGCGAAGGCGGCGAACUGGAGAGAAACUGACGAGGAGGAACGAAAGCAGGGGGAGCAAACAUGAUUAGGUACCCGGGUAGUCCUGGCCGUAAACGAUGUGGACUUGGUGUUGGGAUGGCUUCGAGCUGCUCCAGUGCCGAAGGGAAGCUGUUAAGUCCAUCGCCUGGGAAGUACGGUCGCAAGACUGAAACUCAAAUGAAUUGGCGGGG